rnacentral:rRNA from 1 species
UACGAAGGGGGCUAGCGUUGCUCGGAAUCACUGGGCGUAAAGCGCACGUAGGCGGAUUGUUAAGUCGGGGGUGAAAUCCUGGAGCUCAACUCCAGAACUGCCUUCGAUACUGGCGAUCUUGAGUCCGGGAGAGGUGAGUGGAACUCCGAGUGUAGAGGUGAAAUUCGUAGAUAUUCGGAAGAACACCAGUGGCGAAGGCGACUUACUGGACACAUAUUGACGCUGAGGUGCGAAAGCGUGGGGAGCAAACAGG